GGACAAAGUCGCUGUCGUGACAUUUCACUGUGGUUUAUUUGAAGUACAGUACUAAAGACUCCUCUCACCAGUAUCAGAAAAAAACUCAUAGCUGCCACUUUCAACAGUCAUUAAAUCUUAGAGCAUAAAAUUUGCUUAGUAUAAACUAGCAAGCAGUGGUACGAAACCUUGCAUGUCUGGGUCUUGCACAAGUGUUUCUCACAACUUUCUUUGAUUUCUGCUUUAAUCUCAUUUAACUCAGAAUAAAUGGAUUUUAAGUUUUUUGUUGUUACAUUAUACAUACUUGUGCUUGCAGGUGCAAAGCGUAAGUACCAGCAUAGGUAUGCAACAUAGCUGUGCUCAUGCAGCACUUUUCUAGGCUUACUGAUCACUCAAAGCUCUUCUAACAUCUUAAGUACACAUUCAUACAGCACUUUAUCUUGACAUGCAUGUUUUUGGACUGUGGAAGGAAGCUUGAGUACCUGAUGGAAACUCAGUCCAAGUACCUCUAGAGCUGGUCAAGCAUACAAACUCCAUGCUCCCUGCAGGAGUUAAACCAGAACCCUUCUUGCUCUGAUGCAACAGUGCACAUCAACCUACCACCAUGCUUGUGUCCGUGUCAAGGUACAAUAUCUCACACUUAUGGUGUUCUACUAUUACACUGUUUGGAGAGUCCUCCACGAUCUUUUAAAGACCAGCAGGUGCCUGUCUCUGUGGGAACCUGGGCAAAUGUGACGGUUCUCACGACUGAAUCAAGCUCCUGCCUUCACCUCUGUCACCACUCUCCCAUAAGAAGUACACACAGACCCGACAUGUACAGCUUCCAGGUUCAGAUCUAAAAUUCAUCUGAAAAGAAACAGCUCAAUUUUGACCCGGAAUAGCCUCGAUGUACAACAAUAUUUUUUGGAUUCAACUUUCAUUUUGCGUAUUUUGUGUAACUUUCGGAAAAGGCGUUGAAUUUCAGGGUAAAACAAUAACAUUUAUGUUUAAUUAUUUAUUUUUACUGCUGUCAAAUUUUUAAAAAAGAUCUGAUUUGACCCAGAAUGUAAGAGUUAAAAGAUUGAAAGACCCUGAAUGUAUAUGUAGUUUCAGUAUCAAAAAAGCAACAGCCUCCAGAGGUCUCAACCGCAGUGCGCCAAACCAUCUUUCUCCGUAGCCUGUCUUAUAUUCGAGGACGUUUCCUUGGCCGUGAGAGCAUCCCAUCCACCUGCGCGUGUGGCAGGAAAUCAUGCGCCCACUAGUUAGCACCGCUGAUUUGCUAACUAGAGUCUGCCCCGGCACGUCCAGGGACAUCGGAGGGCACCUGAGCAAGGACGUGUGAGAGGACGGAGACAACGGGCUCAGAUUCAGAGACGGGAUGAAGAAAAAGUACAGAGAUGUCAAAUGAAUUUUCGGAAACGCUUCUCCAUCUUGUCACGCUUUGACCUCCUCAUAGGUCCAAAGCUAAUAUAGUAAGUGGAGACUCUUUGGAACAUUACGUGCUGAAACACAUUGGUUGAAUAAAGCACAGGCUCUUCCAGAGAGUAAUCCCUGAACGCAGACAGGUAAUAAUGUGUGUUGAGCUAAGAGGAUGAAGACUUAUUAUAUAAUUGGCAUUUCUGUUGUGCAGGUGUGUGUGUGUGUGUGUGUGUGUGUGUGUGUGUUGAGUCAAAUGCUGGAGAAUUGGAUUCAGUCGUGCUGCUGUGAUGCUGUUUUUCUGGUUAUUGUUUCGUAACAUGUCAUAGCAAAUCAUGCACUCCGAUAAGAAGGCACACAUGCUCACACAAAGAUGCACGUGGCAUUAACACAAACGCUUCAGUCAGAUGAGAGAGGACGAGCUGGCAGAUACUGUGCAGGAGGCAAGCAUCAAUACUGAUAUUGUAAGAGGAAGUUUUUCAGCGUCCUUACUCUGGAUUGUGUGAACAAAGACAUCCAAGGAUUCCUUGUUGCUCUGGAUUUGCCUGAUUCCUAACCAGCUUUCUCUAUCUUGGAUGUAUUUUGUUCAUUUUAGCACUAUUUUGAUCUUUUCUGCACCACUUUGAGUUUGGUGCAAAAGUCUUUGCCGGCAAUAAUACGAGCAUCUUUACAGGUCUUUUCUAGCUGGUUUUUUUGGGGGGGUUUUGCCCAGAGACGUGACAAGGCAGGCCGUUUAUUUCAUAUCAUUUGGAAAAAGCGUGAAAGACACAGCUUAUAUAUGCGGUAUUCAAUUUUUUAAACUCUGAAAGGUGUAAUUUUUCUGACCUUGCAUUUAUUUCUGUAAGAUUACUUUCUGAGACUGCCGUGAGCAUUUUAAACCGCCUCUCCACCAUGCAUAAUAAGUCAUUUUUGCAGGCUCGCUGUGAUGAGCCUAUAAUUACGUCGGACUGGGGUCUCCUUUUGCUACUGGCUCUGCUGCUGCUGGCGCUGGUCUACUCCUUCCUCUACCUGCCUGCCUCCGCCCAGCGAGCCCUGCUAGAGCAGGCCCUCAGCAGCAACAACACCACCACCGCCGUGAUUGACUGAUUCAGGGAUGAACCCUGACAGAAGCUUCACGAAUGGAUAAGCAGACAAGCGAGGCCAUCUUGCAUAUGUAAAUAGUGUGGACUGUACUGCUUGUCAUUUUGCCCAACUAAAAUCAAGAGGCUGUAAAGUGGCAGUAAGGAAACAGAGACACGGAAACCUGAAGAUGGAUUUAAAGUGCGUUUGACUUGGAGGGGUUUGUAAUGAGCCAUUUAGCGCCUCUGUGUUUCAGAGAAGAAAAAAAGUAUGUAGCUGUGUUGAAGCACUGUACUUUCUGGAGGUCCUACUGGCCAUGUUGUUCCCUGUAUGUAUAUUAAAAAUGGUAUCAGGCGUG